rnacentral:misc_RNA from 1 species
CGGAAUGUUGACAUCUGCCAGAGAAGAAGCCGAGUUGGCUAUUUGGGCAGUUGAAGGCCCUCCGAUAUUAAUCUUCUCUAACAUAAACCGGGACUCUGUCUCAUUCUUUGAAGCAGACACCCCCAAUUUAUCAUCUUCUCAAUGUGGGCCUUUCACUCUCCUCAAAUCGCCCAAUCACCUUCCCACCAUGCCACUCACUUGCCUCGUACCUCUGCUAAACCACCAAUUUGCUUCGUAAACUUAAACCCGGCAACCGCCUCCGCCGCCACCCCCACCACCACAUCCAAUAAUAACCAGCUAAUUCAAUCUCUGUGUAAGCAAGGCAACCUAAAACAAGCACUUAAGCUCCUCUCUCACGAGCCCGAACCAACCCAGCACACUUACGAGCUUCUAAUUCUCUCUUGCACCCAUCAAAACUCACUCCCCGAUGCUCAAUCGGUUCACCGUCACCUCCUUGAAAAUGGGUUCGAUCAAGAUCCUUUCUUGGCGACCAAACUUAUUAAUAUGUAUUCGUUUUUUGGCUCUAUCCAUGAUGCACGCAAGGUGUUUGAUAAAACUCGAAGGAGAACUAUUUAUGUUUAUAAUGCUCUCUUUCGAGCGCUUACUUUGGGGGGUCAUGGAGAAGAAGUACUGAGCUUGUAUCGCAGGAUGAAUUCUCUUGGUAUUCCCUCUGAUAGAUUCACGUAUACUUACGUGCUUAAAGCUUGUGUUGCAUCGGAUUGUUUGAUAUCACUGCUAAAGAAGGGGAAGGAGAUUCAUGCACAAAUUUUGCGACGUGGGUAUGAGGCACAUGUUCAUAUUGCGACUACUUUGGUUGAUAUGUAUGCAAGGUUUGGUUGUGUAUCGUAUGCUAGGUUUGUUUUUAACGAAAUGCCAGUGAAAAAUGUGGUUUCUUGGAGUGCUAUGAUUGCGUGUUAUGCGAAGAAUGGGAGGCCUUUUGAGGCAUUGGAGCUUUUUAGAGAAAUGAUACUUGAGAAUCAAGAUUUGUGUCCAAAUUCUGUGACAAUGGUUAGUGUGCUUCAAGCUUGUGCUGCUCUUGCUGCUUUGGAACAAGGGAGAUUGAUACAUGGGUAUAUUCUUAGGAGGGGACUCGAUGAUAUUUUGCCAGUUAUUAGUGCCCUUGUUACUAUGUAUGCAAGAUGUGGUAAACUUGAAUUGGGGCAACAGGUGUUUGAUCAGAUGGAUAAGAGAGAUGUCGUUUCCUGGAAUUCAUUGAUUUCAAGUUAUGGGGUUCAUGGAUUUGGAAAGAAAGCAAUCCAAAUUUUUGAAGAAAUGAUCCAUAAAGGUGUAUUGCCUAGUCCCAUAUCGUUUGUUAGUGUUUUGGGAGCUUGCAGCCAUGCAGGACUGGUUGAGGAGGGGAAGAUUUUGUUCCAGUCAAUGCAUAAAAAGUAUGGGAUAUACCCUAGCGUGGAGCAUUAUGCUUGUAUGGUAGACCUUCUUGGCCGGGCCAAUAGGUUAGAGGAAGCAGCUAAAGUUAUUCAGGAUAUGCGAAUUGAACCAGGCCCUAAAGUUUGGGGUUCUCUCCUUGGAUCCUGUAGAAUUCAUUGUAAUGUUGAACUUGCAGAGAGGGCGGGCAUGAGGCUAUUUGAGCUUGAGCCUACAAAUGCUGGGAAUUAUGUGCUUCUUGCUGACAUUUAUGCAGAAGCUGGUAUGUGGGAGGGGGUAAAAAGAGUGAAGAAGCUGCUUGGAGCUCGAGGACUACAAAAAGUACCCGGUCGCAGUUGGAUAGAAGCUAAAAGAAAAAUCUACUCAUUUGUGUCUGUUGAUGAGUUUAACCCACAGAUUGAGCAGCUUCAUGCUUUGUUGGUGAAACUUUCAACUGAGAUGAAGGAGAAAGGGUAUGUGCCACAAACCAAAGUCGUGCUCUAUGACCUUGAUGCAGAGGAAAAGGAGCGAAUAAUAUUAGGUCAUAGUGAAAAAUUAGCUGUUGCGUUCGGGCUUAUCAAUACAAGUCAUGGAGAAACAAUUCGGAUCACCAAAAACUUAAGGUUAUGUGAAGACUGCCAUUCUUUUACAAAGUUCAUUUCCAAGUUCGCAAAUAAGGAGAUUCUGGUCAGAGAUGUGAAUCGUUUUCACCAUUUUCGAGAUGGGGUUUGCUCAUGUGAGGAUUAUUGGUGAUUAUAUGCAAUCCUCAUUUUUAUUUUAAUUGUUUCCCUCCAAUAAUAAUAGGUGAGAAUUGUCAUAAAAGCAAAGAUAGAAAGAUGUACAGUAGCAAAUACCAUAUUCAUCAGAGAAGUUGACAUUUUUUUAACAGAAACUUUUAUGCGAUCUUCCAACUUUGUCACUUUCAAAUCCUUCUUGAUAUGUCAGUUCCAAUGACUUGGAAGUAUCAACAUCAAAUGAGGAAUGA